UUCUCCCAGUGAAAUAGAUGUUUCGCAAGAGUAUCAUUGGGCAUGUACUCUGCCACCAGCAACCUCUCGUCCCCAUCGCAGCAGUACCCUAUCAAAUUAGCUAGUCUCUUGUGCUUCAACUUCCCAACACCCAAUGCCUCAUCUGCGAAUUGUUUGGGAUCGGGCCAGGCAAGUUUCGUGAAUUUCUUGACAGCGAUCCAAGU
rnacentral:misc_RNA from 1 species